GUGAUUGGACUAAUGGCUUAAAUCUGCUUCUCCACUGUAUUGGGAAGAUAAGAUUCACCAUCUUUGAUCUGCUCAACUACUGCUUAGGGUGAGAGAAUCUACAAUCUUCAACCUACUCGACUAGUGCUUAAGGUGGUAGGACUAACGGUUUAAAUUUGCUUCUCCAUUGUAUUGGGAAGAUAAGAUUCACCAUCUUCGAUCUGCUCCACUACGGCUUAGGUUUACAGAAUCUCCAAUCUUCAACCUACC
rnacentral:lncRNA from 1 species